UUAUGGUUUGUCCAGUUUUUCAGCAAAGACCAACCCUUGUACCUUUUGCAUCAUGAUUUAGCGAGAAACUACCCAAGCAAAACGCCAAUUUAAGCUUGCCUCCCCGAAACCCAAGCGAGCUACUCACGAGCAGCUAUCUACUGAGCAAACCCGUCUCUGUUGCAAAAGAGUGGGAAGACUCGUUAGUAGAGGUGAAAAGCCAAUCGAGCUGGGUGAUAGCUUUUCAACUUAUCUGGGGCCCUUCAGCCAGCCACCAUUAAAGAAUGCGUCAAAGCUCCUCUCCUAAAAAAUCCAAACUCCCUUUUGACUCCCUCUUCCCCAAUAGGCCAACUUAUAUUAAAUAAGAGAAUUUAUGCUAAAAUAAGUAACUAGGGAUCCCCUCUAUGGCGCAAGCUUACAUUACAACAUUAUUAACAAUCCACAGGAUAUUUUUUAACCUUAACAAGACCUUAUACCCAAAACUCUGUUAACCCACCUAUGGAGCGCCCCCAAAGACGAUUAAAAUCUGUAAAAGGAACUAGGCAAAUCCAAGGCCCGACUGUUUACCAAAAACAUAGCCUUUAGCAAACCAAGUAUUAAAGGUGAAGCCUGCCCAGUGACAAUACGUUCAACGGCCGCGGUAUCCUAACCGUGCAAAGGUAGCGCAAUCAAUUGUCCCAUAAAUCGGGACUUGUAUGAAUGGCUCAACGAGGUCUUAGCUGUCUCCUGCAGAUAAUCAGUGAGAGUA
rnacentral:ncRNA from 1 species